rnacentral:rRNA from 1 species
UCUGAAUCUGCGUACGGCUCCGCAAACCAGUUGUAAACUAUAGCAAGCAAGCCCGGGGUCGGCCUUCACGGGCUGGUUCCGGGUGAUAUGGAUAACCCUGGUAAUUCUGAGGCUAAUACAUGACCGUAAAACCUAGCUGACCGGCUUCGGCUGGGAUGCUGGGGGACGUGUGAUUUGGGCUUGGUAACACCGGGAAGGGGCGCACGUCUAGACCACGCUAUAAAGGUCGGUUUCCUCCUCGGAGGGGGCUGUCCCAGUGGCUCUUGCUGUGUGCUUCUGACCUAUCAACUAGACGGCAGCGUAAGGGACACUGCUAUGGU